CGGCGUGGCCGCCGCGGACACGGUGCCGCUCGCGCUGGCGUUGACCGUCGCGGCCGGCGGUCGAUUCGCCGCCGCGCUGG
rnacentral:tRNA from 1 species